rnacentral:lncRNA from 1 species
AGCUGCGGCCGGGGAAGUGUUGGGGUGUUUUGUGAUUGAGGCGCGGAUGUGGAGGUGGUUUAGGGAUACCCUGUUGGCUGCCGUUUGAGGUGGCAGAGGGGAAUCCUUUCGAGAGCAUUAAUGGCCCUGGGUCCUGCCUUCGCGCGGAGGAGGCCUCGUUCCCGAGAUCAGGCCUGACCGGGAUAAGCCCCAGGAUAUUUUGUCACCCUUCCAUUCCAUGACGAAAUGAUUCUUCAGGCUUAGAAAGAGUAAGAUGUGUCUGUAAUUCAGAUUACUUCAUCUUUGGUGUUUUUCAGCCCAGGAUCAUUCAUUCUAUGUAACCAAUACUGCUACAAGUAAGACAAGUUCCAGUAUUUUUUCUUUCUUCUU